CUCUGAGUAGCUCAGUUGGUAAAGCGUCAGACUAUAAAUCGAAAUGUCCUUGGUUCGAUUCCGGGUUCCGGGC
rnacentral:tRNA from 1 species